UGUCUCUGAAUGGUGAGGAGAUGUUACAAGUCAAGGGGAUACCACCAAGCAACCUGUAGGAAACAGUAAAUAAGGAUUCUACUAGACAGCAGAACAGAGACCAAGCUUUGCAGAAGGAAACUCUGUGACCCCGAGCUCACCCUGGACCCCCAGCCCUGGGGAUGUCUGGGCUAGGUGUCAGUGGGCUGGCCCUUCCCCAUUGCCAGGUGGAGGCUGGGAACUGUAAGCCCCCCAAGCCCACAGCACCUUGCCAGGCAGAGUAAUGGAAAACCGGGCAGGUUUUCUCUCAGGUUUGACUGGGCUCUGCCAGAAUUUUGUUGCAAUAAAAUAUUUUCAGUAAAACUUACAUUGAAAUUUGAAGUCAAACAAAUGGAAAUUUUCCACCUAUA